CCGCCGGCCGCGCCCUCCCCCGCGAGCCGCACCUCGCGUCGCCGCCAGACACUUAGGAUGCAUUGCUUGUGAGCAAACAUUUUGGGAUCCUUAAGUCACCUUUGCGUCAAUAAACAGAUUGUGUGGCUUCCUAGAAAACUGACUGCCCAACCUGUGAAACUGGACCUCUAGACCCUUCUGUAUUACUUUUACUGAAACUGCUUCCCCACAUUUUUUUUCACUGCUUCGUUGAGCCCCAGCAUCAAAUCCUCUGUGAGGCAGACCACCACACUGAAAGCAAAGGGACGUGAAUAAAUACAGCUCUGUAAAGAGAGAAGAAGAAGAAAAGAAGAAGGAAGAGGAGGAGGAGGAGAAGGAGAAGAAAAUCAAAUCCAGCGAAGUGAAAAAAUAUACCUGACAUCUCCAUCUGGUGUCUAAUAGAUAUCUCAGAAAUAA